rnacentral:rRNA from 1 species
UACGUAGGGUGCGAGCGUUAAUCGGAAUUACUGGGCGUAAAGCGUGCGCAGGCGGUUUGACAAGUCUGAUGUGAAAGCCCCGGGCUCAACCUGGGAACUGCGUUGGAAACUGUCAGGCUAGAGUGUGUCAGAGGGAGGUAGAAUUCCACGUGUAGCAGUGAAAUGCGUAGAGAUGUGGAGGAAUACCGAUGGCGAAGGCAGCCUCCUGGGAUAACACUGACGCUCAUGCACGAAAGCGUGGGGAGCAAACAGG